UGAGCAUUCCUAGAGCAUGGUCAUUCUGGCAUAAAAGAAGAUUUCUAGGACCUCUACAGGGAGCAUCGUGCAGUCGCAAAAGGAUGGUAGUGCAGAGACUUCUGCAAGUGAGACUGAAGGGAGCUGGAACCAGGGGGAUUUCCCAAAAAGAACAAGGAGAUCAGAUGUUGAUGGUUUCUAUUAAUCUUAGUGGAAAAAAAAACAAAACAACCAAACUAGUCAAUGAACCAACCAACCACCACCACCACCAACAAAAUCAAACAAUAACGAAGAACGCACAGAAAUACAGUCAAACAACAACAACAACAAAAAACAACGCAGUAAGUCCAAAGAGCAAUUCAUUUUUUUUCCACUGACUGUGGAGAGGUUGCAAAUUACCAACAUAGAUGCAACAACUAGCUUAUACAUACCAAAAAUUAGCCAGGGAAUUUGGUUCUAAAUACUUGACUUCGAAAAUG
rnacentral:lncRNA from 1 species